UGGGGAAUUUUGGACAAUGGGCGAAAGCCUGAUCCAGCAAUGCCGCGUGUGUGAAGAAGGCCUUCGGGUUGUAAAGCACUUUUGUCCGGAAAGAAAUCCUUGGCUCUAAUACAGUCGGGGGAUGACGGUACCGGAAGAAUAAGCACCGGCUAACUACGUGCCAGCAGCCGUGGUAAUACGUAGGGUGCAAGCGUUAAUCGGAAUUACUGGGCGUAAAGCGUGCGCAGGCGGUUUGCUAAGACCGAUGUGAAAUCCCCGGGCUCAACCUGGGAACUGCAUUGGUGACUGGCAGGCUAGAGUAUGGCAGAGGGGGGUAGAAUUCCACGUGUAGCAGUGAAAUGCGUAGAGAUGUGGAGGAAUACCGAUGGCGAAGGCAGCCCCCUGGGCCAAUACUGACGCUCAUGCACGAAAGCGUGGGGAGCAAACAGGAUUAGAUACCCUGGUAGUCCACGCCCUAAACGAUGUCAACUAGUUGUUGGGGAUUCAUUUCCUUAGUAACGUAGCUAACGCGUGAAGUUGACCGCCUGGGGAGUACGGUCGCAAGAUU
rnacentral:rRNA from 1 species